rnacentral:rRNA from 1 species
GUUGAUCCUGCCAGAGGCCGCUGCUAUCCGGCUGGGACUAAGCCAUGCUAGUCUAGGGGCUUGUACCCCUUCGGGGGUGCAAGCACCGGCGGACGGCUCAGUAACACGUGGACAACCUGCCCUCGGGUGGGGGAUAACCCCGGGAAACUGGGGCUAAUCCCCCAUAGGUGAUGGGUGCUGGAAUGCCCCAUCUCCGAAAGCGCUCAGCGCCCGAGGAUGGGUCUGCGGCGGAUUAGGUAGUUGGUGGGGUAACGGCCCACCAAGCCUAAGAUCCGUACGGGCUGUGGGAGCAGGAGCCCGGAGAUGGACCCUGAGACAAGGGUCCAGGCCCUACGGGGCGCAGCAGGCGCGAAACCUCCGCAAUGCGGGAAACCGCGACGGGGUUAGCCGGAGUGCCCGUGCAUUGCACGGGCUGUCGGGGUGCCUAAACAGCACCCCAUAGCAAGGGCCGGGCAAGGCCGGUGGCAGCCGCCGCGGUAAGACCGGCGGCCCGAGUGGCGGCCACUCUUAUUGGGCCUAAAGCGUCCGUAGCCGGCCCAGUAAGUCCCCCGGGAAAUCUGGUCGCUUAACGAUCAGACUUCCGGGGGAUACUGCUGGGCUAGGGACCGGGAGAGGCCGAGGGUAUUCCCGGGGUAGGGGUGAAAU